rnacentral:snRNA from 1 species
GUGCUUGCUUUGGCAGCAUAUAUACUAAAAUUGGAACAUACAGAGAUUAGCAUGGCCCCUGCAAAAGAAUCACAUGCAAAUUCAUGAAGCGUUCCAUCUUUUU